UCAUCUCUUACCUCAACCCACCACAAGUCUCUCUCAUAAGUCGUAAUCCAUAUCAAGCCACCACAAUCCUAUCCCAAUUCUGUUCCAAUCAACACGAGUUAGAUUAGAGCAUUAUCUUAAGCAUGUAAUCAACAUCUAGACAAUUGAUCUUUUUCUUCCAUCUCUCUGAUCUUUCUAAUACACCUCAAGACUCAUAUAUCCACUAAGAUUUGAAGCAUUACAUUUUUCAAAGAUAACCAGUAGUUUCAAUUUGUAGAUAUAAAUAAAGAUCUAGCUCUCAUAGAUUUAUCAGUUUAGUCUUCCCUAAUUACCUCAUCAGAUAGGUUUGUCAAUUAGCUAGGAUUGCAUGUUCUUAAUAUGUUUUUAUCUUUAUUCUAAAGAUAUAUAUUUGGUUAACUUUCACAGCUACCAACUCUGAUGGAAUCAAAGAAGCAGUCAACACAGCUCAACCAGCCACAACAACCGCCAGAUCAAUUAGCGGUUAGCACAGCUCAGCCAGCUACAUCAAUAAGCACUCAAGGAAGCUCA
rnacentral:lncRNA from 1 species